AGCAGAAAAGUUUUUUCCACCACAUUGAUUACUUCAAAUAGAGGUUAAAAAAGGAUUUGAAAUCAAUUAACAGAGUGGUAAUCUUUUGCCAAAGAAAGACUCUGCACUCCGCAACAAGAAGCAACUCCUUCCCGUUAACCAUGUCCAAAGCAUGUUGUCAGAUAGACGCUUCCAAAUUCAACUACGAAAGUCAUACAGGAGGGACUCCUAUGUCACAAACAUAACCCUAUCAGUUGUCUUACACAGAAAAGGAAGUCAUUUUUCCACCAAUAGUGGGAAAAGAAAGAGGGAAGGGGAGCAACAUCUUAUUCUCUUCGUGAGAACUUUCGGAUCGUAGAAGCAUU